CGGCGGUAUUGCUCUUUUUUGUGGUUUUAACGGCUCAUGCAUAAACUUGUCUCGAUUAUAAAACGAUUAACGUAGCUACCGUAAUUCAAAUGCUUCUCUUGGUUAAUAUUUAGCGGUUUUUUUUUCUAUCUUCAAAAGCAAUUUUUAUUCCAUUCCACUUCACGAUAUAACCUUUACUUGAUGUAUCAUUAAUUCAUCAAAUAUACGAGAAGCCAUGAAGAAUAAUUACCGAAGUCUUGGAGAACUGGAGUUUCUAAAGAUAUAUUUUAGGUUGUUGGAUUAAUCAGAAGAUUUGUAGUAACAAAAAUAAUAAUAAAGGAGGGAAAUCAUCAUAAGAUAAAUUGGAAAAAUAAAUUCACCCAAGCGAAAAUGAGAAACGUGGAACGCCCAGGCUAGUGUGUGGUUCAGAAAUAGUUGUACAGCUCUCUCUCUGCAUGAGGAGAGUCACGAUACACAUGUUUUACCUAUUUAAAUACUCAAAACUUAUUUGCACAGAUUAAAUAUGUUAACGUAAAAGAUAAAUAUACUCAAGUAAUAUAUAUUGGAUAAAACCCAUGAAUGUGGAAAACUAGAAGAAGAAACAUUAUUCCUUGAAGCCAGUAAAAAAGAUGUUAGGAUUCUUGAGAGGUAUGCUGAUAAAGAGAAAAAGGACGUGACUGGGAAAAUAUAACAGUACCUAAGGGAAAACUUUGAAGAGUUGGAAACUUGAACCUUCUUUCGUGACAAUUAGAAAAUAUUUUAGCGCUUGUAGAUACAUGCUCUAGACUUCUAAAGUAUAUAUUUAGAAUAAUGGUGACCAAGAGCCCGUGGAAUGUAGAUUUGUAGCUCAGAAUUGUUUGUUUGUUGCCCAGUUAUCUACAAAUUGUCGUAAACUAUGUCGAUUGUGUGCAUUAAAGAAGCUCUCAAGUUACUUAUAUAUCUGUUUUGUUAAACCGUGACAAAAUGACAAGUAAAUAACUUGAAAAAUCAAACUUUUCACUUAAUUUGUGAAUGCUAUAAUGAGGCACACUUUGUAUUGAAUGUUAUUAUCACUCCAAUGUCAGAUUUUCAAAAUAAAUAUUUACUUCAAGAUUAAUUUGAAAAAUUAUGUUCAACUCAUAAUUAAUCAUGAUGGAAAUGAUAAUAAUCAUUGAAGAGA